rnacentral:rRNA from 1 species
UACGUAGGGGGCUAGCGUUGUCCGGAUUUAUUGGGCGUAAAGAGCGUGUAGGCGGCCAGGUAGGUCUGCUGUGAAAACUCGAGGCUCAACCUCGAGACGUCGGCGGAAACCAUCUGGCUAGAGUCCGGAAGAGGAGAGUGGAAUUCCUGGUGUAGCGGUGAAAUGCGUAGAUAUCUGGAGGAACACCGGUGGCGAAGGCGGCGUUCUGGACUGCAACUGACACUGAGAGACGAAAGCCAGGGGAGCAAACGGG